CCACCCCCCUACCCCCACCCCCAACGUUUUCUUUUACCUUUUUCUAUUCAUACAUUUUUCUUCUAUUUUCUUCCAUACCUACUAUCAAAUUUUCAUUACCACCAAAGAAUCACAAUCACUAAACUCAACCACCAAAGCAAUUACAAUUGAAAUUGUCUUCAUCAAUGGAGGUAGAAACUGUCAUCAUCAAUGGGAUAUUUGAGCAAGACAUUAAUGAUUUUUCACUAAAACUCCUAGUUGACAAGAGAGCAUUGCAGAUAAAAAUAUUAGAUCUAUAACAAUGGAUAUAAAGCUUGAGAAAAAUAAGAAAGUUGAACACUUUUGUAAAUUUGUGUGGUCAUUCACAAGUUACUCAAGAGGAGAAGCAAAUAUAGGACUCCAUUUUUUCGAAUGCAGUAAUUUGGAGAAGAUGAUUUUGAUAAGUGGGUGGGAGUGCUUGGAGAAGAUGAGUUUUGGGGUAGGGGUGAGGUGUUUGAUUAUUUUCUUAUUUAAAUUAAUAAUUUAAAAAGUAUUUGGAUAAAAAAAAUGAGGAGAAAAUGAUAAAAUUAAAUAAAAAAUAGUGAAAAUACAGCUACUACGCGCCAAACUGCGAGUGUAAUACACUCUCUUUGCUAAAUCGGCAAAAAGUGUUAAAGUGACACACUUAUGGCUACUUGAGGUGUCAAAAGUGAACAACGUCCACUUGAGGUGACUAAGUGAAAGUUCGUGCCAAGUUUAGGGGGCCUUUAUCUAAUCCAAAAUCACACUAUUCUGUUUUGUCAAAAAUCACAGUAACACCCCAUUAUAAGUGCCCAAAUGCUUAUAAAUCUCACACUACCAAUAGUCCAACAGUCAUUUCUUAAAAUAAUAUUUAACUGGCAAGUUAGAAUAGAACUCAAUUCCUAAUUUCAU
rnacentral:lncRNA from 1 species